CGGCGGCGGACAGUGUUCUGUAAUGUGUCUCCCGUUGCCCGAGCUAAAGGCAGUCUCCACACCACUGUGCUCGAACAGCUCUAUGAAGAGGCCUAUGUGGAGAGGAGAAAAAGCCUCCACCAACAGCCAGCACCAACUUGCCAGCCAUAUAUGAACUCUCGCUAUGUUGCCUCGGCUGGUCUCAAACUCCUGGGCUCAAGUGAUCCUCCCACUUCGGCCUCCCAAAGUCAGUAAAUAUAGUUUUUAAAUUGUUGGUAAAAUAAAAUAAAAACAUAUUCAAAUUUUAAUUCAGGUAUUUUUUGCCUGGCUCUAUUGUUUAGGUAGGUUUAUGCUGUCACUGCUAGAUGUUUUAAUGCCAUAAAACUGUUGCUUCUAUGAUAUUUUUGAUACUUGCUUAUGAAGACAUGAAAGUGUGGUUUUUGUUAAAGGGAAGAUAAUUUUGUAUGAUUUAGAGGUGGGAUUUUUGUUUGUUUGUUUUUUGUUUUUUUUGGGUUUUGUUUGCGAUGGAGUCUCACUCUGUCACCCAGGCUGGAGUGCAGUGGUGUGAUCUUGGCUCACUGCAACCUCUGCCUCCCACGUUCAAGCAAUUCUCCUGCCUCAGCCUCCCAAGUAACUGGGGUUACAGGCGCAUGCCACCAUGCCCAGUUAAUUUUUGUAUUUUUAGUAGAGACAGGGUUUUACCAUGUUGGUCAGGCUGGUCUCUAACUCCUGACCUCAAGUGAUCCACCAGCCUCAGCCUCCCAAA
rnacentral:lncRNA from 1 species